rnacentral:rRNA from 1 species
GAUGAACGCUGGCGGCGUGCCUAAUACAUGCAAGUCGAGCGAACAGACGAUGAGCUUGCUCCUCUGACGGUAGCGGCGGACGGGUGAGUAACACGUGGAUAACCUACCUAUAAGACUGGGAGAACUUCGUGAAACAGGAGCUAAUACCGGAGAAUAUAUUGAACCGCAUGAAGCAAUAGUUAAAGACGGUUUUGCUGUCACUUAGAGAUGGAGCCGGGGCCGAUUUUCUAGGUUGUAAGGGUACGGCCUACCAAGGCCACGAUUCGUAGCCGGUCUGAGAGGGUUAAUCGCCACACUGGAACUUAGACACGGUCCCGGCUCCCACGGGAGGCAGGAGUGGGGAAUUUUUCAGAAUGGGCGGAAGCCUUAUCGAGCCAUACCGCGGGGGUUAAGAAGGGUUUCGGGUUCGAAAACCCUGUUAUUAGGGAAGAAAAAAUGUGUAAGUAACUAUGCACGUCUUGACGGUACCUAAUCAGAAAGCAACGGCUAACUACGUG